rnacentral:rRNA from 1 species
AUUGAACGCUGGCGGCAGGCCUAACACAUGCAAGUCGAGCGGUAGAGAGGUGCUUGCACCUCUUGAGAGCGGCGGACGGGUGAGUAAUGCCUAGGAAUCUGCCUGGUAGUGGGGGAUAACGCUCGGAAACGGACGCUAAUACCGCAUACGUCCUACGGGAGAAAGCAGGGGACCUUCGGGCCUCGCGCUAUCAGAUGAGC